GUGGGGAAUAUUGGGCAAUGGGCGAAAGCCUGACCCAGCAACGCCGCGUGAAGGAAGAAGGUCUUCGGAUCGUAAACUUCUAUCCUUGGUGAAGAUAAUGACGGUAGCCGAGAAGGAAGCCCCGGCUAACUACGUGCCAGCAGCCGCGGUAAUACGUAGGGGGCAAGCGUUGUCCGGAAUGAUUGGGCGUAAAGGGCGCGUAGGCGGCCUGGUAAGUCUGGAGUGAAAGUCCUGCUUUUAAGGUGGGAAUUGCUUUGGAUACUGUCGGGCUUGAGUGCAGGAGAGGUAAGUGGAAUUCCCGGUGUAGCGGUGAAAUGCGUAGAGAUCGGGAGGAACACCAGUGGCGAAGGCGACUUACUGGACUGUAACUGACGCUGAGGCGCGAAAGUGUGGGGAGCAAACAGGAUUAGAUACCCCGGUAGUCC
rnacentral:rRNA from 1 species